CCAUUGUCCCUACAACACUGGGAGGGUGAAACCUGGUGAUGAGAAAGAAGGAGAGAAGAGACACUUCGAUCAGUUGUUUUGGAGCUUUCUAUUAAAUAGGUGCUUCCUACCCAAGCCCUGAUGACAUGUGUUUCCAGCUACUUCACAGCAGCAGAUAGCCAUGCUGAGUCAUGCUGCUGUGGCCCUGCUUGGUAGCAGGGCCCACCACACGCAACCCAUGAUGGUCCAUUCCCCUCAUCUGCAGUACUGGAAUGUUUAAUGCUGCAGGACCAGUUCAAACACCUCUGUUGUGCUGCCGAUCAGACCAACUCCAAUGCUGUCCAGCACCAUUCUUUUGCUGCGGUGGAGGACUAAGGAGGACAAGUGCUGGGGCUUUACUUCACUGAUGAAUUUCCCAAAGCUGGCUGUGACUGUGUCCUCAUGGGCUAGACAUUUCAAAAGGUAACAGGAAUGAUGUGUGGAGAAAAGUAUUGAGGAGAAAGAAGAAAAGAACGGAGGAGGAAAUAAAACAGAAGAUUUAAUAUGAUGUGGCAGACAGAGUCAACAUUUGCUAGGAACAAGGAAGGCAGGCAUAUGAAUUCAAGGGAGGAAUGUCCAUUGCACUCAUCAACAUAAUCAAGAUCAUCGUCAGCUGAAGAGGAGGGUGACAAAGGCA